AGAUAAUGGCUAAUUAUUGUAUCAAUUUAACUUCUCUUAAUGUAAAUGGCUUUGGAAACGAUUUUAAACGCAAAUCCAUGUUUCUUUGGUUGAAAAAAUUUCAAAGCGACAUCAUUUUCUUGCAAGAAACACACAGUACUGAAUCGUAUGAAACUAUAUGGAAAAGGGAAUGGGGUGGAGAUAUUUAUUUUUCGCACGGGGAAACGAACUCUAAAGGUGUUGCUAUUUUGUUUAACAGCUCAACAGAUUAUAUAUUAAAGGAAAAAAAUUGCAGAUGAAAACGGAAGGUAUCUCAUUCUAACUGUUGAAAUUGAUAACACAGAUUUUGUUUUUGUAAAUUAUUAUGCACCGACCAAAAAUUUUGAAAAUGACCAAAUUG
rnacentral:lncRNA from 1 species